ensembl:snoRNA
AGGUUAUUUCAAAGAGGGUCUGUGGGUUUGUGAAACCGGGAGCUCUUAAUGCUAUGACCAAAGAUUAAAAUUCUCCAUAGGAUGUCAUAGGCACUCAAUAGUGCUGCUUUCCUGAAGAGAUGAAACA